rnacentral:rRNA from 1 species
GAUAGCGAAGAAAGUACCGUGAGGGAAAGGUGAAAAGAACCCCAGUCGGGGAGUGAAAUAGACUAUGAAACCAUAAGCUUACAAUAUGUAGGAGGCUUUUUAAAGGCUGACUGCGUGCUUGUUGAAGAAAGAGCUGGCGACUUAGAAGGCGAGGCGUGGUUAAGAGAUAGAUGUCUCGAAGCCAAAGCGAAAGCAUGUCUGAAAAGGGCUUUUGUCUUUCCUUCUAGACCCGAACCUAAGUGACCUAUCUUUGGACAGGAUGCAACCCAGGUAAAACUCGGUGAAGGUCCGAACCGUGUGAUGUUGAAAAAUCAUCGGAUGAGCUGAAGAUAGCGGUGAAAUGCCAAUCGAACUUAGAGCUAGCUGGUUCUCCUCGAAAUGCGUUGAGGCGCAGCGUUCAUUUAUGUAAUUUGAAGGGGUAAAGCACUGUUUCGAUGCGGGCUGCGAGAGCGGUACCAAUUUGUCACAAACUCAUAAUACUUCAAACAAUUCAAAUGAGCAGUGAGACUAUGGGGGAUAAGCUUCAUUGUCGAGAGGGAAACAGCCCAGAUGACUCGUUAAGGCCCCAAAAUAUGUGCUAAGUGAUAAAGGAGGUGAGAGUGCAGAAACAACCAGGAGGUUUGCUUAGAAGCAGCCAUCCUUUAAAGAGUGCGUAAUAGCUCACUGGUCAAGGAUUCUUGCGCCGAAAAUGUCCGGGGCUCAAGUACAUUGCCGAAGCGGUCAAUUUUAUGGUAGAGGAGCGUUCUCCUUCACGUAGAAGCUUCACUGUGAGGUGAGGUGGAGAGGGGAGAAGUGAGAAUGUCAGCUUAAGUAACGAAAACCUUGGUGAGAAUCCAAGGCUCCGAAAACCUAAGGUUUCCUCCGCAAGGUUCGUCCACGGGGGGUUAGUCAGCACCUAAGGCGAGGCCGAAAGGCGUAGUCGAUGGAAAUUAGGUUAAUAUUCCUAAACUUUUUCUUUUUAGUCACGGGGGACGAAAUUUAAUCGAAGAGGAACAAAAAACUCUUCAGUUUUCCUAGAAAAGCCCGAACGACUGCGAAAAGAUAAAAGCUGUACCGUAAACUGACACAGGUAGGUGGGUAGAAUAUACUAAGGAGCGCGAGAGAACUCUCUCUAAGGAACUCGGCAAAAUCACCCCGUAACUUCGGGAUAAGGGGUACCUCAUUUAUGAGGUCGCAGUGAAUAGACCCAGGCGACUGUUUACCAAAAACAUAGGUCUCCGCAAAGUCGUAAGACAAAGUAUGGGGGCUGACUCCUGCCCAGUGCUAGAAGGUUAAGGAAGUUGGUUCGUUUCGACAAAGCUAGCAACCGAAGCCCUAGUGAACGGCGGUCGUAACAAUAACGAUCCUAAGGUAGCGAAAUUCCUUGUCGGGUAAGUUCCGACCUGCACGAAAGGAGUAACGAUCUGGGUACUGUCUCGGAGAGAGGCUCGGUGAAAUAAAAUUGUCUGUGAAGAUUCGGACUACCUUCACUUGGACAAAAAGACCCUAUGAAGCUUUACUGUGUCUUGGAAUUGAAUUCGAGCUUUUCUUGCGCAGGAUAGGUGGGAGACUAUGAAGAAGAGCGUUCGCGUUCUUUGGAGUCAUUGUUGAGAUACCACCCUGGUCUAGCUAGAAUUCUAAGAAGAUAUCAUUUUCUGGUUCUUCAACAGUUUCAGGUGGACAGUUUCUCUGGGGCAGAGACCUCCUAAAAGGUAACGGAGGUGUACAAAGGUUCCCUCAAGCUGGUCGGAAAUCAGCUGAAGAGUACAAAGGUAGAAGGGAGCUUGACUGCGAGACCUACAAGUCAAGCAGGGACGAAAGUCGGUCUUAGUGACCCAAUAGUGCCGUGUGGAAGGGCUAUUGCUCAACGGAUAAAAGUUACUCUAGGGAUAACAGGCUAAUCUCCCCCAAGAGUUCACAUCGACGGGGAGGUUUGGCACCUCGAUGUCGGCUCAUCACAUCCUUCUGCAGCAGUAUGUGGAAAGGGUUGGGCUGUUCGCCCAUUAAAGUGGUACGCGAGCUGGGUUCAGAACGUCGUGAGACAGUUUGGUCUCUAUCCAGUGAAGGCGUUGGAGUAUUGAGAAGAACCUUUUCUUGUACGAGAGGACCGAAAAGGACACAUCACUGGUGUACCAGUUCUCGAAUAGGGAUACGCUGGGUAGCUACAUGUGGAGACGAGAACUGCUGAAAGCAUCUAAGUAGGAAACACACUUCGAGAUGAGUACUCCCACUUUUCAAAUAAAACAUUUCUUACGAAAUUGUUUCCGUGAAAAGAGAAGGUCACGGCAAGACUAGCCGUUUGAUAGAAGGAAGAUGUAAGCAAAGAGAUUUGUUAACAUGAAAUUUAUUUCAUACAGUCGAUCCUUACUAAUAGACCAAGUU